rnacentral:rRNA from 1 species
ACAUGCCUACAUCAUAUCGUUAAUGCAUCGGAUCCCAUUAGAAAUUUGCAAUUAAGCGCACUCAGGCUAGAGUAGUAUUGGGAUGGGUGACCGCUCGGGAAGUCCUAGUGUUUUACAUGCC